rnacentral:rRNA from 14 species
GAAGUACGUUCCAAGGGUUGGGCUGUUCGCCCAUUAAAGCGGUACGCGAGCUGGGUUCAGAACGUCGUGAGACAGUUUGGUCCAUAUCCCGUAUAGGCGUUUAGAGCAUUGAGAGGAUCUCCCCUUUGUACGAGAGGACCAGGUGGGGACAAACCGCUAGUGUACCAGUUAUUCCCCCCGGGGGGAAAGAUGGGUAGC